GGGUGCGAAAAUACCGAUACUAAUGCAUCGGAUCCCAAUAGAACUUCGCAGUUAAGCGUGUUUAGAGAGUAGUACUAGGAUGCGUGACCUCC
rnacentral:rRNA from 1 species